CUGGCGGCACGCCUAAUACAUGCAAGUCGAACGAAGUAGCAAUACUUAGUGGCAGACGGGUGAGUAACAUGUAGGUAUCUUCCCUUUGGUGAGGAAUAACACGAGGAAACUUGUGCUAAUACCUCAUAAGUCUUUACGGAGAAAGCUUUAUGCGCCAAUGGAUGAGCCUGCACUUGAUUAGUUUGUUGGUGGGGUAAUGGCCUACCAAGACUUUGAUCAAUAGCUGAUUUGAGAGGAUGAUCAGCCACAUUGGGACUGAGACACGGCCCAAACUCCUACGGGAGGCAGCAGUAGGGAAUCUUGCACAAUGGAGGAAACUCUGAUGCAGCGAUGCCGCGUGAGUGAAGAAGGCCUUUGGGUUGUAAAGCUCUUUCGUCGGGGAAGAAAAUGACUGUACCCGAAUAAGAAGGUCCGGCUAACUUCGUGCCAGCAGCCGCGGUAAUACGAAGGGACCUAGCGUAGUUCGGAAUUACUGGGCUUAAAGAGUUCGUAGGUGGUUAAAAAAGUUGGUGGUGAAAUCCCAGAGCUUAACUCUGGAACUGCCAUCAAAACUUUUUAGCUAGAGUAUGAUAGAGGAAAACAGAAUUUCUAGUGUAGAGGUGAAAUUCGUAGAUAUUAGAAAGAAUACCAAUUGCGAAGGCAGUUUUCUGGAUCAUUACUGACACUGAGGAACGAAAGCAUGGGUAGCGAAGAGGAUUAGAUACCCUCGUAGUCCAUGCCGUAAACGAUGUGUGUUAGACGUUGGAAAUUUAUUUUCAGUGUCACAGCGAAAGCAAUAAACACACCGCCUGGGGAGUACGACCG
rnacentral:rRNA from 1 species